rnacentral:rRNA from 1 species
GGGUUCGGGGGUCCGAUAAGUUCCCCCGUAAUGUUGUUACCCCAAAGAAGGGAGUACGGGUGAGUAACCGUGGGUGCCUGCCUGGGGGACUGGGAUAACUCCGGGAAACCGGGGCUAAUACCGGAUGGUUGUUUGAACCGCAUGGUUCAAACAUAAAAGGUGGCUUCGGCUACCACUUACAGAUGGACCCGCGGCGCAUUAGCUAGUUGGUGAGGUAACGGCUCACCAAGGCAACGAUGCGUAGCCGACCUGAGAGGGUGAUCGGCCACACUGGGACUGAGACACGGCCCAGACUCCUACGGGAGGCAGCAGUAGGGAAUCUUCCGCAAUGGACGAAAGUCUGACGGAGCAACGCCGCGUGAGUGAUGAAGGUUUUCGGAUCGUAAAGCUCUGUUGUUAGGGAAGAACAAGUACCGUUCGAAUAGGGCGGUACCUUUACGGUACCUAACCAGAAAGCCACGGCUAACUACGUGCCAGCAGCCGCGGUAAUACGUAGGUGGCAAGCGUUGUCCGGAAUUAUUGGGCGUAAAGGGCUCGCAGGCGGUUUCUUAAGUCUGAUGUGAAAGCCCCCGGCUCAACCGGGGAGGGUCAUUGGAAACUGGGGAACUUGAGUGCAGAAGAGGAGAGUGGAAUUCCACGUGUAGCGGUGAAAUGCGUAGAGAUGUGGAGGAACACCAGUGGCGAAGGCGACUCUCUGGUCUGUAACUGACGCUGAGGAGCGAAAGCGUGGGGAGCGAACAGGAUUAGAUACCCUGGUAGUCCACGCCGUAAACGAUGAGUGCUAAGUGUUAGGGGGUUUCCGCCCCUUAGUGCUGCAGCUAACGCAUUAAGCACUCCGCCUGGGGAGUACGGUCGCAAGACUGAAACUCAAAGGAAUUGACGGGGGCCCGCACAAGCGGUGGAGCAUGUGGUUUAAUUCGAAGCAACGCGAAGAACCUUACCAGGUCUUGACAUCCUCUGACAAUCCUAGAGAUAGGACGUCCCCUUCGGGGGCAGAGUGACAGGUGGUGCAUGGUUGUCGUCAGCUCGUGUCGUGAGAUGUUGGGUUAAGUCCCGCAACGAGCGCAACCCUUGAUCUUAGUUGCCAGCAUUCAGUUGGGCACUCUAAGGUGACUGCCGGUGACAAACCGGAGGAAGGUGGGGAUGACGUCAAAUCAUCAUGCCCCUUAUGACCUGGGCUACACACGUGCUACAAUGGACAGAACAAAGGGCAGCGAAACCGCGAGGUUAAGCCAAUCCCACAAAUCUGUUCUCAGUUCGGAUCGCAGUCUGCAACUCGACUGCGUGAAGCUGGAAUCGCUAGUAAUCGCGGAUCAGCAUGCCGCGGUGAAUACGUUCCCACGGCCUGUACACACCGCCAGUCACGCCACGAGCGUUCUAACACGGGAAUCGAUCUGACGCCCAAACCGGAACCCCGA